rnacentral:rRNA from 1 species
CCUACGGGAGGCUGCAGUGGGGAAUAUUGCACAAUGGGGGAAACCCUGAUGCAGCGACGCCGCGUGAGUGAAGAAGUAUUUCGGUAUGUAAAGCUCUAUCAGCAGGGAAGAAGAAAGACGGUACCUGACUCAGAAGCCCCGGCUAACUACGUGCCAGCAGCCGCGGUAAUACGUAGGGGGCAAGCGUUAUCCGGAUUUACUGGGUGUAAAGGGAGCGUAGACGGCUGUGCAAGUCUGAAGUGAAAGCCCAGGGCUCAACCCUGGGACUGCUUUGGAAACUGUGGAGCUAGAGUGCUGGAGAGGUAAGUGGAAUUCCUAGUGUAGCGGUGAAAUGCGUAGAUAUUAGGAGGAACACCAGUGGCGAAGGCGGCUUACUGGACAGUAACUGACGUUGAGGCUCGAAAGCGUGGGGAGCAAACAGGAUUAGAUACCCGGGUAGUC